UUACGACCAUAUCAUGUGAAAACACCGGUUCCCGUACGAUCACCGAAGUUAAGCAACGUCGAACCUGGUCAGUACCUAGAUUGGCGACCACUUGAGAAUACCAGAUGCUGUAAG